AUGACUGAGCUGAAGGCGAAGGGUCCCCGCGCUGCCCACGUGGCAGGCACAGCGCCCUCGCCUACCCAAGUCGGAGCCCCUCUGCGGGGACGCCCAGACGCGGGCUCCUUCCAGGCGGGCGAGGCCUCGGGCCCGACCCCCACAGCCUCGGGCCUCCCCCUCUCCCUGGACGGGCUGAUCUUCCCUCAGCCCUGCCAGGCUCAGGACCUGGACGGGAAGACGCUCGACCCAGAGUCGCUGGCAGGCGUGGAGGGGGCGUAUUCCAGAGGGGAAGCCGCAGAGGGCGCUGCUGUGAGACCCCCAGAGAAGGACGGCGGAUUGCUGGACAGCGUCCUGGACACCCUGCUGGCGCCCCCAGGCCCUGAGCAGAGCCCCGCCAGCCCCGCCGUCUGCGAGGCCCCCAGCCCUUGGUGCCUCUUUGGCCCUGAGCUUGCCCAAGACGCCCGGGCUGCGCCCGCCGCCCAGGGGGUCCUGCCUACACUCAUGAGCCGCCCGGAGAGCAAGGCUGGCGACACCCCCGGGGUGGCCGCCGGCCAGAAGGUGCUGCCCCGGGGCCUGGCGCCGUGCCGGCAGCUGCUGGCCCCGACGGCCUCGAGCCACCCCUGGCCCGCGCCCGCGCCGAGGCCGUCUCCGCAGCCCGCGGUGGUGGAGCUGGAGGAGGACGACUCGGAUCCCGAGGGCUCCUCGGGGCCGCCCCUGAAGGGCAAAGCCCGGCCCGCGGGAGGAGACGCGAUCAGCGCUCCUGGGACCGCCGCGGGAGGCGUCGCCCCGGUGCCCAAAGAAGAUGCCCGCUUCUCGGCGCCCAGGGCCGCCCCGACGGAGCAUGACGCGCCCGCCGCGCCCGGGCGCGCCCCGGUGGCCACCGCGGUGAUGGACUUCAUCCACGUGCCCAUCCUGCCGCUCAACUCGGCCUUCCUGGCCGCCCGCACCCGGCAGCUGCUGGAGGGCGACAGCUAUGACAGCGGGCCCGCCGGCGCCUUCGCCCCGCCGCGGGGCUCGCCCUCCGCCUCGGCCGCCCCGGGCGCGCCUGGCGACUUCCCCGACUGCGCGUACCAGCCCGAAGCCGAGCCCAAGGACGACGCGUUCUCGCUCUACGGGGACCCGCAGCCGCCCGCCCUGAAGAUCAAGGAGGAGGAGGAGGGGGGCGCCGAGGCCGCCGCGCGCUCCCCGCGGCCGUACCUGCUGGCGGGGGCCAGCCCCGCCGUCUUCGCCGACUUCCCGCUGGCGCCGCCGUCCAGGCUGGGGGAGGUGGCGGUGCCCGCGGCCGCCACGGGGGCCCCAGGCUCGUCCGCGGCCGCGUCGGGGUCCGCCCUGGAGUGCGUCCUGUACAAGGCGGAGGGCGCGCCCCCCCAGCCGGGCCCGUUCGCGCCGCCGCCCUGCAAGGCUCCGGCCGCGGGCGCCUGCUUCCUGCCGCGGGACCUGCCGUCCACCUCGUCCGCUGCCGCCGCCGGGGCCGCCCCUGCACUCUACCCGCCGCUCGGCCUCAACGGGCUCCCCCAGCUCGGCUACCAGGCCGCGGUGCUCAAGGAGGGCCUGCCGCAGGUCUACCAGCCCUAUCUCAACUACCUGAGAUCUGUGCAGUCCCAAGGCGAACCAGCCGCGAGUUCUAAAGUGCAGCGUCACUCUGGGUCCGCCGUAGCCCCGCGGAGCCGAAAGGGUGCGGCGAGUCCGGGGUUUUAUAAAAUGCUUUUCUUCCUAGAAGGACAGUUACCGAGAACGGGCAUUCCGGAGAGGAGAUGGCCCGAUUCAGAAGCCAGCCAGAGCCCACAGUACAGCUUUGAGUCAUUACCUCAGAAGAUUUGUUUAAUCUGUGGGGAUGAAGCAUCAGGCUGUCAUUAUGGUGUCCUCACCUGUGGAAGCUGUAAGGUCUUCUUUAAAAGGGCAAUGGAAGGACAGCAUAACUACUUAUGUGCUGGAAGAAACGAUUGCAUUGUUGAUAAAAUCCGCAGAAAAAACUGCCCAGCAUGUCGCCUUAGAAAGUGCUGUCAGGCUGGCAUGGUUCUUGGAGGUUUUCGGAACUUACAUAUUGAUGACCAAAUAACUCUCAUCCAGUAUUCUUGGAUGAGUUUAAUGGUAUUUGGACUAGGAUGGAGAUCUUAUAAGCAUGUCAGUGGACAGAUGCUAUAUUUUGCACCUGAUCUAAUACUAAAUGAACAGCGGAUGAAGGAGUCAUCAUUCUAUUCAUUAUGCCUAACCAUGUGGCAGAUCCCACAGGAGUUUGUGAAGCUUCAAGUCAGCCAAGAAGAGUUCCUCUGUAUGAAAGUAUUGCUACUUCUUAAUACAAUUCCUUUGGAAGGACUAAGAAGCCAAAACCAGUUUGAAGAAAUGAGAUCAAGUUACAUUAGAGAGCUCAUCAAGGCAAUUGGUUUGAGACAAAAAGGAGUUGUCCCUAGCUCACAGCGUUUCUAUCAGCUUACAAAACUUCUUGAUAACUUGCAUGAUCUUGUCAAACAACUUCAUCUGUACUGCUUGAAUACAUUUAUCCAGUCCCGGGCACUGAGUGUUGAAUUUCCAGAGAUGAUGUCUGAGGUUAUCGCUGCACAAUUACCCAAGAUCUUGGCAGGGAUGGUGAAACCUCUUCUGUUUCAUAAAAAGUGA
rnacentral:lncRNA from 1 species